rnacentral:SRP_RNA from 2 species
GCUGGGCAUGGUGGCCCAUGCCUGUAAUCCCAGCACUUUGGGAGGCUGAGGUGGGUGGAUCACCUGAGGUUAGGAGUUCGAGACCAGCCUGGCCAACAUGGUGAAACCCCAUCUCUA